rnacentral:misc_RNA from 1 species
GACAGAGGUCCCGAGCGUUAGGCGGAAUCACUGGGCUUAAAGCGUGUGUAGGCGGAUUGGUAAGUACCUUGUGAAAUCCCACGGCUUAACCGUGGAACUGCUCGGUAUACUGCUUAUCUUGGGCCACUUAGGGGUUACCGGAACAAACGGUGGAGCGGUGAAAUGCGUAGAUAUCGUUUGGAACGCCAAUGGUAAAAACAGGUAACUGGGAGUGUGCCGACGCUGAGACACGAAAGCCAGGGGAGCGAACGGG